rnacentral:rRNA from 1 species
GACAGAGGUGCCGAGCGUUAGGCGGAAUCACUGGGCUUAAAGCGUGUGUAGGCGGGUCGUUAAGUGCCUUGUGAAAUCCCACAGCUCACCUGUGGAACUGCUUGGCAUACUGGCGAUCUUGAGCCACUUAGGGGCAACCGGAACAAACGGUGGAGCGGUGAAAUGCGUAGAUAUCGUGAGGAAGACCAGUGGCGAAGGCGGAUCUCUGGACAGUUCCUGACACUGAGGCACGAAGGCCAGGGGAGCAAACGGG